CAAGGCCUACGGGGGGCAGCAGUCGAGAAUCAUUCACAAUGGGGGAAACCCUGAUGGUGCGACGCCGCGUGGAGGAAUGAAGGUCUUCGGAUUGUAAACCCCUGUCAUGUGGGAGCAAAUUAAAAAGAUAGUACCACAAGAGGAAGAGACGGCUAACUCUGUGCCAGCAGCCGCGGUAAUACAGAGGUCUCAAGCGUUGUUCGGACUCACUGGGCGUAAAUCGUGCGUAGGCUGUUUCGUAAGUCGUGUGUGAAAGGCGCGGGCUCAACCCGCGGUCGGCACAUGCUACUGCGAGGCU
rnacentral:rRNA from 1 species